rnacentral:rRNA from 1 species
GAUGAACGCUGGCGGCGUGCCUAAUACAUGCAAGUCGAGCGAACAGACGAGGAGCUUGCUCCUCUGACGUUAGCGGCGGACGGGUGAGUAACACGUGGAUAACCUACCUAUAAGACUGGGAUAACUUCGGGAAACCGGAGCUAAUACCGGAUAAUAUAUUGAACCGCAUGGUUCAAUAGUGAAAGACGGUUUUGCUGGCACUUAUAGAUGGAUCCGCGCCGCAUUAGCUAGUUGGUAAGGUAACGGCUUACCAAGGCAACGAUGCGUAGCCGACCUGAGAGGGAUAUCGGCCCCACCGGAACUGAGACACGGCCCAGACUCCUACGGGGGGCAGCAGUGGGGAAUUUUUCCCAAUGGGCGGAAGCCUGAUCCAGCCAUCCCGCGUGGAGGAAGAAGGGCUUCGGGUUGGAAACUCCUUUUUUAUGGGAAAAAAAGAAUUUGGCAAAAACCUGGGGCUCUUGACGGUACCGUAAGAAUAAGCCCCGGCUAACUACGUG